UUUUAUCCUUUUACUUCUUUCUCUUCGUUUAUUCGAUCGAACCCCAUCAUAAGAGUAUAACCACCACAAUUCUCCUCUGCGCUAAACCCACCGCUACUAUCUCCAUCGCCCACCAUCACUUUCUUCCAAAUCUCACCACCGUCACCACCAGCCCAACUGCAUCAUGCACUAUUGAACACCGUCGUAGCCAGAUCGAGAACAAACAGAUCUAGAAAUGAGAUUGAUUAUCUUCUUUAUCUUUUUGGAUUCGUAUUUUUCGUGCUGCAAAUCGCAAUUCAAGCCCCGUCAAUUGUAAAAUUGGUGAUGGAGAUUAAAGUGGAUUUAGGUGAUUAUGGUUCUUUUUCUUGUUUAAGUUUAUGCUAGUAAUGGUGGUAUUUUAAUUAACUAGUUGUUGUCAUUAUUGUUGGUGGCGAUGAGGGUGGGAAGAUGAAAUUGGUGAGGGAGAUACUGGCGGUUCUGGUUGUUUAGGUGGUGGUGGUGAUCUGGUGUGAUUCUAGUUGCUCUCCCCUCUCUCAAAAAAACAAAGCUGGUAUAUUCACCAUCCGCAUGGGGAUAAAAAUGUGAAAGUAAUAAGUUACUCAAGCUUACUGCUACCUGUUGAAGUACGGGACCGAUUGUCAGUUGAUGAGCAAGCCAUAUUUAAGGGUGCAACAGUUGGUUAUUUUUAUGUACAGUACCUUGAUCCACUGCAGAUAUCUAGAUGCCUAGCUAAUUGAUCUACAUCUAUUAGCCAUAACUGUAUCUUAAUGUGAGGAUGUCUAGCUAAUUGAUCCAGUAACUUACACUAGUAUGGCUGUAGAGUUAAAAUAUUGGUUGCGGAUGUGUUUGCAAGGCUAAAUAAUAAAUUUUCUGGAGAUAGGGAAAAAAUUAGAGUUGAUGGCAAAUAUUUUAUGGAGAUUUGGAAGGUUAUAGGAAUGAAAAAUCUUGAUAAGUCGGAGUUUGUGUGGUCUUCUGAUGCAAUAAACUCACGAGCUUCUGAGAACUAGGAUUUAGUUUUGGACAUAGUUGGUAUGUUUAGUGGGGAAAGGAUAAAAAAGCGAGGAGUAAUUUAUGUACUAAUGACGUACUAUUUUUAGUCUUAAUUACGUACUGAUUAACUUUUUAGAUUUCAAUUCAUCUUCUGAGUUUGUCAACUGUGAAGGCGUUGUGCGAUAAUGGGUCAGGAGGAGAACGAAGACUUGAGUCCUGGCCAGCUAAUGUACCCUUGUAUCCAGUGUGCUGAUAUCUUUCUCUUAGAGAUAUUUUCUCUUACAUUCUCGACCGAAUUGUAUCGUUCUGUAAUACAAUCUUAAAUCUUCUUUACUGCCAUAUCUCCAGGCUUGGCAAACCGGAUGUUAAUAUAAUGAUUUUGUGUUUAAGUUUUUAA